rnacentral:lncRNA from 1 species
GCGCCAUAGAGAAAGAACUUCAACAAGAGGGGAAACUCUUCAAAAACUGGCAACAGGAAACACGUCACGCCUAGUUUCAACACCAUCCGUUAGUUGACGCGAGCAUCAGAAAAAAAGAAUGUGAAAUAAACUUCCAGACAACGUUUGAUUUUUUUUAUUCCUUCCCACUAAAAGUGAAAAAGUUUUUCGUGUAAAUGAACUUAUACGUUGCAACUUUUUGUUGCGUUGCCUAGCAACAAACUAGCGGCACGCCAGACGCGCGUGCAUACGUCAUGUGCCAGACAAGCCGCAGGAGUGAGCGAGGUCGGCCGUACGUGCGAAGCUCGCGUGCUCGGCGACCCGUCUGUUUUGGAUAUAGCCCAUUUUUUGGGCUCCCGGCCUUCUGUAUGCUUCUCUUGCGUAUCGUCUGCAUUUCGACACGGCACCACUGCACUACUGGACUACGGCAAGCUGAUGGCAUCCGGUGCGGCUUCGUACGGCAACGACUGCUGCUUACCUGGUGCCGCAACUUUGGGUGAAGGCACAAGAAGCCCGGCACGAGCAUUUAUAUAGAGCAAAAUAAAGAUUUCAUCAUUUCAGAA